UUUGAUGCCUGAGUGACAUUUUAUCUAGGCCGAAAUCUUCACCUUAGGGUCGAUCGGUUACUCAGCUUUGAAAGUUAAGGAUCAACAGCAAUGUUGAUUGCCUGGAUGGAGAUUUAUCAGGUUUCUAAACUUUGUCUAGGUCACACCCCAAAAGGGGAUGAGACUCCUGGACCAUUAGCUCAGGUGGUUAGAGCGCACCCCUGAUAAAGGGUGAGGUCCCUGGUUCAAGUCCAGGAUGGCCCAUUCGGUGUUGGGGGUUUAGCUCAGUUGGGUAGAGCGCCUGCUUUGCAAGCAGGAUGUCAGGAGUUCGAGUCUCCUAACCUCCACUGACCGAACUUGAUUCCCAUCUCCAAUCUUUUGGAGUUGAGCUCGAUUGGAGUGUGAUUUAGAUGUGUCCGCUGGAUGACCCCAGCUUCCUGUCAUUCCAAGUUUUAGGUUGAACCCUUGAAUUUGGUUGAUAAGAUGCUGGGCUCGGAUCAAAUUAUCAAGCAAUUGAUGAUUUGAUUUGAAGUUCUAGCAGAACCUUGACAACUGCAUAGGUGAGUCUGGAAAAAACAAAGCAUCUUACAGAUGCAUUGUUUUGAAUUUGAUCUUCUGAAUGGGAGAUUAGAUCUAGAACAAUGAAAAUUCUUUUGAGCAAGAGCCGAGACUCUUAAACG
rnacentral:tRNA from 1 species